rnacentral:rRNA from 1 species
AACGAACGCUGGCGGCAGGCCUAACACAUGCAAGUCGGGCGCCCAGCAAUGGGAGCGGCGGACGGGUGAGUAACGCGUGGGAAUUUUUCCUGGAGUACGGAACAACCGAGGGAAACUUCGGCUAAUACCGUAUGAUGUCUAGCGACCAAAAAUUUAUCGCUCUGGGGUAAGCCCGCGUCAGAUUAGGUAGUUGGUGGGGUAACGGCCUACCAAGCCUGCGAUCUGUAGCUGGUCUGAGAGGACGAUCAGCCACACUGGGACUGAGACACGGCCCAGACUCCUACGGGAGGCAGCAGUGGGGGAAUCUUGCGCAAUGGGCGAAAGCCUGACGCAGCCAUGCCGCGUGAGUGAAGAAGGUCUUAGGAUUGUAAAGACUCUUUCGUCUCGUGACGAUGAUGACGGUAACGAGAGAAGAAGCCCCGGCUAACUUCGUGCCAGCAGCCGCGGUAAG